rnacentral:rRNA from 1 species
CGAGCGAUGAGGCCUCUUCGGAGGUACAUCAGCGGCAGACGGGUGAGUAACACGUGGGUGACCUGCCCUCAAGACGGGGAUAACUGUUGGAAACAGCAGCUAAUACCCGAUGCCCUUACCGUGUCGAAGUGGUAAGGAAAGCUCCGGUGCUUGAGGAGGGGCUCGCGGCCCAUCAGCUAGUUGGUGAGGUAAUGGCUCACCAAGGCGAAGACGGGUAGGGGGUGUGAGAGCAUGACCCCCCACAAUGGGACUGAGAUACGGCCCAUACUUCUACGGAAGGCAGCAGCAGGGAAUCUUGCCCAAUGGACGAAAGUCUGAGGCAGCGACGCCGCGUGAGUGAUGACGGCCUUCGGGUUGUAAAACUCUUUUUGAGGGGAAGAGCGAGGACGGUACCCUCAGAAUAAGCGUCGGCUAACUACGUGCCAGCAGCCGCGGUAAGACGUAGGACGCAAGCGUUAUCCGGAUUUACUGGGCGUAAAGCGUCUGUAGGCGGACAGGUAAGUUGAACGUGAAAGCUCCGUGCUCAACGCGGAGAGGCCGUACAAUACUGCCUGACUAGAGGAGGUCAGAGGGGAGUGGAAUUUCCGGUGUAGCGGUAAAAUGCGCAGAUAUCGGAAGGAACACCAGUGGCGAAGGCGGCUCCCUGGGGCCCACCUGACGCUGAGAGACGAAAGCUAGGGGAGCGAACAGGAUUAGAGACCCUGGUAGUCCUAGCCCUAAACGCUGAAUGCUAGGUGUGGGGACGUAAAGUUUCCGUGCCGGAGCUAACGCGAUAAGCAUUCCGCCUGGGGAGUACGACCGCAAGGUUAAAACUCAAACGAAUUGACGGGACCCCGCACAAGCAGCGGAGCGUGCGGUUUAAUUCGAUCUACACGAAGAACCUUACCUGGGUUUGACAUACAAGUGGUAGGAAGCCGAAAGGUGACUGACCCUUCGGGGAGCUUGUACAGGUGCUGCAUGGCUGUCGUCAGCUCGUGCCGUGAGGUGUCGGGUUAAGUCCCGUAACGAGCGCAACCCUUGCCCUUAGUUACAAGUGUCUAAGGGGACUGCCGGCGGGAAGCCGGAGGAAGGUGGGGAUGACGUCAAGUCAGCAUGGCCCUUAUGUCCAGGGCUACACACACGCUACAAUGGGCGGUACAGAGGGCAGCGAAGCCGCGAGGUGAAGCGAAUCCCACAAAGCCGUUCGUAGUUCGGAUAGCAGGCUGCAACUCGCCUGCUUGAAGCUGGAGUUGCUAGUAACCGCGCGUCAGCUAUAGUGCGGUGAAUACGCUCCCGGGGUUUGUACACACCGCCCGUCACGUCAUGGGAGUUGGUAACGCCUGAAGCCGAUAGCUUAACUCGCAAGAGGGGGCGUCGUCGAGGGCGGGACUGGCAACUGGGACGAAGUCGUAACAAGGUA